UGCAAAUGAUGUUUUUCUCACGAUGGUCUUCCUAGCCCUUUAGGGUUCUGACGAUAAUGCCUUAUGGCAAUGCUGAUGCAGUCUC